GAUGAAGAACGUAGCGAAAUGCGAUAAGUAGUGUGAAUUGCAGAAUUCAGUGAAUCAUCGAAUCUUUGAACGCACAUUGCGCCCUUUGGUAUUCCAAAGGGCAUGCCUGUUCGAGCGUCAUUUGUACCCUCAAGCUUUGCUUGGUGUUGGGCGUCUUGUCUCUAGCUUUGCUGGAGACUCGCCUUAAAGUAAUUGGCAGCCGGCCUACUGGUUUCGGAGCGCAGCACAAGUCGCACUCUCUAUCAGCAAAGGUCUAGCAUCCAUUAAGCCUUUUUUUCAACUUUUGACCUCGGAUCUGGUAGGGAUACCCGCUGAACUUAAGCAUAUCAAUAAGCGGAGGA
rnacentral:misc_RNA from 1 species